rnacentral:rRNA from 1 species
AACGCGAAGAACCUUACCUGGGCUCGAAGUGUAGUGGACCGGGGUGGAAACAUCCCUUCCCCGCAAGGGGCUGCUAUAUAGGUGCUGCAUGGCUGUCGUCAGCUCGUGUCGUGAGAUGUUGGGUUAAGUCCCGCAACGAGCGCAACCCUUAUUGCCAGUUGCCAUCAUUUAGUUGGGCACUCUGGCGAAACUGCCCCGGAUAACGGGGAGGAAGGUGGGGAUGACGUCAAGUCCUCAUGGCCUUUAUGUCCAGGGCUACACACGUGCUACAAUGGUCGGUACAAACCGUCGCAAACCCGCGAGGGGGAGCUAAUCGGAAAAAGCCGACCUCAGUUCGGAUUGUAGUCUGCAACUCGACUACAUGAAGAUGGAAUUGCUAGUAAUGGCGAGUCAGCAACAUCGCCGUGAAUACGUUCCCGGGCCUUGUACACACCGAGACGAC